CCUACGGGUGGCAGCAGUGAGGAAUAUUGGUCAAUGGGCGAGAGCCUGAACCAGCCAAGUCGCGUGAGGGAAGACGGUCCUACGGAUUGUAAACCUCUUUUGUCAGGGAGCAAGGCGCGCCACGAGUGGUUCGGCGCGAGUACCUUACGAAAAAGCAUCGGCUAACUCCGUGCCAGCAGCCGCGGUAAUACGGAGGAUCCGAGCGUUAUCCGGAUUUAUUGGGUUUAAAGGGAGCGUAGGUGGAUUGUUAAGUCAGUUGUGAAAGUUUGCGGCUCAACCGUAAAAUUGCAGUUGAAACUGGCAGUCUUGAGUACAGUAGAGGUGGGCGGAAUUCGUGGUGUAGCGGUGAAAUGCUUAGAUAUCACGAAGAACUCCGAUUGCGAAGGCAGCUCACUGGACUGCAACUGACACUGAUGCUCGAAAGUGUGGGUAUCAAACAGGAUUAGAUACCCUGGUAGUC
rnacentral:rRNA from 1 species